rnacentral:rRNA from 1 species
CCCUUAGAUGUUCUGGGCCGCACGCGCGCUACACUGAUGCAUUCAACAAGCCUAGCCUUGACCGAGAGGUCCGGGUAAUCUUUGAAACUGCAUCGUGAUGGGGCUAGAUUAUUGCAAUUAUUAAUCUUCAACGAGGAAUGCCUAGUAAGCGUGAUUCAUCAAAUCGCGUUGAUUACGUCCCUGCCCUUUGUACACACCGCCCGUCGCUGCUACCGAUUGGUUGAUCUGGUGAAUUAUUCGGACUGCCGGCUGAAGGGGUUUCCUCAUCUGCCAGCGGAAAGUCUUGUUAACCCUAUCAACUAGAGGAAGCAGAAGUCGUAACA